CCUACGGGAGGCAGUAGUGGGGAAUAUUGCGCAAUGGGCGAAAGCCUGACGCAGCGACGCCGCGUGAGGGAUGAAGGUCUUCGGAUCGUAAACCUCUGUCAGCAGGGAAGAACGGUCACUGUGCUAAUCAGCAGUGAAUUGACGGUACCUGCAAAGGAAGCACCGGCGAACUCCGUGCCAGCAGCCGCGGUAAUACGGAGGGGGCGAGCGUUAAUCGGAAUUACUGGGCGUAAAGCGCUCGUAGGCGGUAUGGCAAGUCAAGGGUGAAAGCCCCGCGCUCAACGUGGGAACUGCCUUUGAAACUGGGAGACUGGAUUGUGUGAGAGGAUAGUGGAAUUCCAGGUGUAGGGGUGAAAUCCGUAGAUAUCUGGAGGAACAUCAGUGGCGAAGGCGACUAUCUGGCACAUAACUGACGCUGAGGAGCGAAAGCGUGGGUAGCAAACAGGAUUAGAUACCCCAGUAGUC
rnacentral:rRNA from 1 species